rnacentral:rRNA from 1 species
GACAGAGGUUGCAAACGUUGUUCGGAAUUACUGGGCAUAAAGCGCACGUAGGUGGUCCGCUAAGUCGGAUGUGAAAUUCCCCGGCUCAACCGGGGAACGGCAAUCGAUACUGGCGGGCUUGAGGUCCGGAGGGGUGAGUGGAACUGAUGGUGGAGCGGUGAGAUGCGUUGAUAUCAUCAGGAACACCGGUGGCGAAGGCGGCAUCCUGGACCAACACUGACACUGAGGAGCGAAAGCCAGGGGAGCAAACGGG